GGUCAAGUUACUAAGAGCUGUUGGUGGAUGCCUUGGCAUCGAGAGGCGACGAAGGACGUGCUUACCUGCGAUAAGCUACGGGGAGCUGGAAAGAAGCUUUGAUCCGUAGAAUUCCGAAUGGGGAAACCCGGUGGGAGUAAACACCCAUCAUCCAUACCUGAAUACAUAGGGUAUGGCGGCGAUACCUGCCGAAGUGAGACAUCUAAGUAGGCAGAGGAAGAGAAAUCAAACGAGAUUCCCAUAGUAGCGGCGAGCGAAGUGGGAAGAGCCCAAACCGAGUGCUUGCACUCGGGGUUGUAGGGCCAGUCAACAAAGUUUAUGUGAGCUUUAGCAGAAUCUUCUGGAAAGUUGAGCGAUACAGGGUGAUAGCCCCGUAUGCGAAAAAGUUAGCAUAAACGAGAUUGGUACCUGAGUAGGGCCGGACACGUGAAACCCGGUCUGAAUCUGGGGGGACCACCCUCCAAGGCUAAAUACUCUUCGAUGACCGAUAGCGGACCAGUACCGUGAGGGAAAGGUGAAAAGAACCCCUGUUAGGGGAGUGAAAUAGAACCUGAAACCAGCAGCUUACAAACGGUCAGAGGCCUAUGUCCCUUUUAGGGAAAUGGCUGAUGGCGUGCCUUUUGCAUGAUGAGCCAGCGAGUUAAGUUAUACGGCAAGGUUAAGGGACAUACGUUCCGGAGCCGAAGCGAAAGCGAGUGUGAAUAGCGCAUCUAGUCGUAUGACUUAGACACGAAACCAAGUGAUCUACCUAUGACCAGGAUGAAGCAAGGGUAACACCUUGUGAAGGUCCGAACCAGUGCCUGUUGAAAAAGGCUUGGAUGAGUUGUGGGUAGGGGUGAAAGGCUAAUCAAACUUGGAGAUAUCUUGUUCUCUCCGAAAUAACUUUAGGGUUAGCCUCAGUGUAAUUCCUCUUAGGGGUAGAGCACUGGAUCCACAAGGGAGCCUACCGGCUUACCGAAGGGAACCAAACUCCGAAUACUAAGAGGUUCACUGGGAGAUAGACUGCGGGGGAUAAGCUUCGUAGUCAAAAGGGGAACAGCCCAGAUCGUCGAUUAAGGCCCUUAAUUCUAUGCUAAGUGAGUAAGGAGGUGAAGUUUCUUAGACAGUUGGGAUGUUGGCUUAGAGGCAGCCAUCAUUUAAAGAGUGCGUAACAGCUCACCAAUCGAGAGACUUCGCGCCGAAAAUAUUCGGGACUAAAGCAUAGAGCCGAAAUCACGGGUGCAUAUCUUUUAGAUAUGUGCGGUAGGAGAGCGUAGUAUGGGCGCUGAAGGUGUACCGUAAGGAGCACUGGAGCGCAUACUAGUGAAGAUGCAUGGCAUAAGUAACGAUAAAAGAAGUGAAAAUCUUCUUCGCCGUAAACCUAAGGUUUCCAGGGUAAAGCUCGUCUUCCCUGGGUUAGCCGGAGCCUAAGCCGAGGCAGAAAUGCGUAGGCGAUGGUAAGCAGGUUAAAUAUUCCUGCGCCGCCUAAAACUAUGACAAUGGGGUGACGAAGUAAGUUAAGUGCGCGGACCAUUGGAUGUGUCCGUAUCGCUAUGAGGUUGGUCAGUAGGCAAAUCCGCUGACGGGAUACCAGGUAGUGGUCAAGGGGAAUCUUCGGAGGAACCGAUGGCAUGGCGCGAUGCUUCCAAGAAAUAACCUCUAGUCGUUGAUGGCGUCCGUACCAAAACCGACACAGGUGGGUGGGAUGAAUAUUCUCAGGCGCGCGAGAGAACUCUUGUUAAGGAACUCUGCAAAUUAUCCCUGUAACUUCGGGAGAAGGGGAGCCGCAAACCGUGACACACUUCGCGUGUGAAGCGGGGGGCGGCCGAAGAGAAAUGGCCCAGGCGACUGUUUAACAAAAACACAGCACUAUGCAAACUCGUCUAAGAGAAAGUAUAUGGUGUGAUGCCUGCCCAAUGCCAGAAGGUCAAAAGGAGGUAUUAGUCGUAAGACGAAGUACUGAAUCUAAGCCCUGGUGAAUGGCGGCCGUAACUAUAACGGUCCUAAGGUAGCGAAAUUCCUUGUCGGGUAAGUUCCGACCUGCACGAAUGGCUCAACGAUCUGGGCACUGUCUCAACAAGAGACUCGGUGAAAUUGUAGUAGCAGUGAAGAUGCUGUUUACCCGCAACUAGACGGAAAGACCCCGUGAACCUUUACUGUACUCUGAUAUUGGCUCUCGACUUUUCAUGUGUAGGAUAGCCGGAAGACUUUGAUAGCGGUUCGUCAGGAUCGUUGGAGUCUCCCUUGAAAUACCGGUCUUGGAAAGUUGGGAAUCUAACGCUAGCCCAUGAAUCUGGGCAGCGGACAUUGUCAGACGGGCAGUUUGACUGGGGCGGUUUCCUCCUAAAGAGUAACGGAGGAGUCCAAAGCUUACCUCAUCGCGUAUGGCAAUCGCGAGUAGAGCGUAAAGGUAUAAGGUAAGUUAACUGCGAGACCUACAAGUCAAGCAGGUACGAAAGUAGGGCUUAGUGAUCCGGCGGUUGAAAGUGGAAUCGCCGUCGCUUAACGGAUAAAAGGUACUCCGGGGAUAACAGGCUUAUCGCCACCAAGAGUUCAUAUCGACGUGGCGGUUUGGCACCUCGAUGUCGACUCAUCGCAUCCUGGGGCUGGAGAAGGUCCCAAGGGUUUGGCUGUUCGCCAAUUAAAGCGGUACGCGAGUUGGGUUCAGAACGUCGUGAGACAGUUUGGUCCCUAUCUGUUGUGGGCGCAGGAUACCUGAGAAGAGCUGCUUCUAGUACGAGAGGACCGAAGUGGACGAACCAAUGGUGUGCCGGUUGUUCUACCAAGAGCAUCGCCGGGUAGCUACGUUCGGAAAGGAUAAGCGUUGAAAGCAUCUAAACGCCAAGCCUCCUUCAAGAUAAGGUAUCCCUAUGAGACCCCCAGAAGACUACUGGGUUAAUAGGUGAGGUGUGUAAGCACAGUAAUGUGUUGAGCUAACUCAUACUAAUCGGUCCAUUGACUUGAUCAU
rnacentral:rRNA from 1 species